rnacentral:lncRNA from 1 species
CCUUCCUGUCCGAGGGCUGAUCCCGCGUUAGUCCCACCCACUCCUUGUCCUGCGUGGUUACCCAGUUUUCUCAGCUGAGGUUCUGUUCUUGGUACCUCGCGGUGGGCUGGAGUUAACCUCGUGGGUCCUCCGACGCAUUGCCAGCUCACCAGCUCUGCCCAGGCCUACCACGCUGGACAUCCUUUCAGUCCUGAGUCGAUGGCGUCCUGCACGUCGGUCGUCCGAGGGCCCGCCCAAGCACGGGCGGGGGCCUAGGGGGCCUCUGGUGGCAAGUGCUUGGGCUGCGACGCCCGGCAGAUAGCAUCGCCCUCUGUUUUGGAGGGAAUGUAGCCACACUGAUAAACUCUAGGCCCUUGGAAAAAGGGAGUAAAAACAGCGACAGUUGGUACUUAUGGGACAUUCGGAGGAAAUGUGGCCUUGAAGCCGAAUGAUCUACUCUGCAUUAAAGGAAGAUUUCCAGCUCUUCUGUGCCCUGACAUCCCCUGCUGCUCUGAAGGAUGAUGAAGGAUCCUCCCUGAGGAUCAGGACCCUGAGGCUAAGGGGAGUGGCUCCUGAGAACCUGGACUCAGAGGAAGGGAACUUGUCACCCCUAUGGAGAGUCACCCCGCUGAGCCCGAAAUUCUACCAAAGAACAUUGAGGUGCCGUCAGAUACUGUUGUGGCUGUUCCUGGCUGAAGGAGAGAGAAGCCCUAGGUAUCUAUUUUGGUUCUGUGAAAGUCCUGAUCCUUGGAAAUAUAGCCUGCUCUCCUCCAAAGAACAUAGAUCUAGUGCUGCAAGGGAGCUCAGAAGUCACCUCGUCCAAAUUAACUCAUUUUACAGAUGACACAACUGAGGGCCGGGGAGGUUGGGUGACAUAUCUGAGGUCACUCAGCUAAUAUCAGAGGUGAGAUUUCAACCUUUGUCCUCUGACUGCAGUCAGUACCUUUUUAUCACACCAUAUAUCAACCUUAAUAAUUAUAACCUUGUUGAUGAUA